AUUGAACGCUGGCGGCAUGCUUUACACAUGCAAGUCGAACGGUAACAGCACUUCGGUGGCUGACGAGUGGCGAGCGGGUGAGUAAUACAUCGGAACGUGCCUAGUAGUGGGGGAUAACUACUCGAAAGAGUAGCUAAUACCGCAUGAGAUCUAAGGAUGAAAGCAGGGGACCUUCGGGCCUUGCGCUACUAGAGCGGCUGAUGGCAGAUUAGGUAGUUGGUGGGAUAAAAGCUUACCAAGCCGACGAUCUGUAGCUGGUCUGAGAGGACGACCAGCCACACUGGGACUGAGACACGGCCCAGACUCCUACGGGAGGCAGCAGUGGGGAAUUUUGGACAAUGGGCGCAAGCCUGAUCCAGCAAUGCCGCGUGCAGGAUGAAGGCCUUCGGGUUGUAAACUGCUUUUGUACGGAACGAAAAGCCCUCUUCUAAUACAGGAGGGUCAUGACGGUACCGUAAGAAUAAGCACCGGCUAACUACGUG
rnacentral:rRNA from 1 species